GCCUGGGUGGUGGAACAGGUAGACACAGGGGACUUAAAAUCCCCAGGGUGAAUAGCCCGUGCGGGUUCGAAUCCCGCCCCAGGCACCA
rnacentral:tRNA from 1 species